CCAGGGAAUGACAGGAUAGUACUUUUAAGUAGGCCGCCACUGGAUUCUUCAAAAUCCUUACCUUUUACCACUUAUGAUUACAUUGUGUAUUUUCCCAUCUCAUUCGACGAUGGAUAAUUUUCAGUUGAAACAGCUUUGUCAGAUAACCUAAGUAUCAUUGCAUCCAGUUGCUUCCUUUUAACGUUUAGCCGUAUGCAUGUUACGCGAGCACUCUACUGCAGCCCUAACUCAUGUCACCAGUUACCGUGCUUACCAAUCACAGCUUGUCUUGAGUGUAGCAGCAGUGCUGUAGCGGAGGGGCUGGGGAGGUGAAGAAGACGUUAGUCUCGUGUUAUCUCGUUUUGUGUCGGGUGUGCUGUGUCGUUCGUUGAAUAAACGCUUAUAAAUCCCAAAACAGAAGGAAAUAAUAUUGUGUGUUUUUGACGUUAAUUGUUAGUAACGUCUCGUAUGCUAGUAAGUUGUGUUAGGAUACCGUGGUUACACAUUCUCAAGUGAGUAAGUGAUGUAAAACUGCAGAGACAGCAUCAAUGCAUGCAGAUUUGAAGUGCUGUGUAUUACGAAUAUUCGUGAGCUCAAAGUCAGCGUGUGUAUCUUAACUUAUUUGAAUAUAAUCUUAAUGGUGUUAUGUAGGAUUAGGGGUUUUCCUCUUAGUGGUAUCAGUUUGACGUGGCUUCCUUGCACUUCUUCAGGAUUUAUGGAAAUGGCUUUCGUGGCGAAUGCUACGCCGUCAGGACUGAGGAAGGUACCCGAACGGGCAGAACUUGCGAAGUGUAUGGAGACAUCUAAGCGUAGUUACAAGAGAAUGACAGGAGGAGCGCUGUUGUGAUACAUUUUGAAGCGGUGAUGGACAUUCUAUC